UGUAAUAAUGUGCCCGCAGCGCGGGUAAUACGUGGGGGUGGGGGGUUAAUCGGAAUUACUGGGCUGAAAGCGUGCGCUGGCGGCUUUGCAAGACAGAGGUGAAAUCCCCGGGCUCAACCUGGGAACGGCCUUUGUGACUGCAAGGCUAGAGUACGGCAGAGGGGGAUGGAAUUCCGCGUGUAGCAGUGAAAUGCGUAGAUAUGCGGAGGAACACCAAUGGCGAAGGCAAUCCCCUGGGCCUGUACUGACGCUCAUGCACGAAAGCGUGGGGAGCAAACAGGAUUAGAUACCCUGGUAGUC
rnacentral:rRNA from 1 species